rnacentral:rRNA from 1 species
UGGGGAAUAUUGCACAAUGGGCGCAAGCCUGAUGCAGCCAUGCCGCGUGUAUGAAGAAGGCCUUCGGGUUGUAAAGUACUUUCAGCGGGGAGGAAGGGAGUAAAGUUAAUACCUUUGCUCAUUGACGUUACCCGCAGAAGAAGCACCGGCUAACUCCGUGCCAGCAGCCGCGGUAAUACGGAGGGUGCAAGCGUUAAUCGGAAUUACUGGGCGUAAAGCGCACGCAGGCGGGUUGGUAAGGCAGAUGUGAAAUCCCCGGGCUCAACCUGGGAACUGCAUCUGAUACUGGCAAGCUUGAGUCUCGUAGAGGGGGGUAGAAUUCCAGGUGUAGCGGUGAAAUGCGUAGAGAUCUGGAGGAAUACCGGUGGCGAAGGCGGCCCCCUGGACGAAGACUGACGCUCAGGUGCGAAAGCGUGGGGAGCAAACA